UACGAAGGGGGCUAGCGUUGCUCGGAAUUACUGGGCGUAAAGCGCACGUAGGCGGCCAACUAAGUCAGACGUGAAAUCCCCAGGCUCAACCUGGGAACUGCGUCUGAUACUGGAUGGCUUGAAUCCGGGAGAGGGAUGCAGAAUUCCAGGUGUAGCGGUGAAAUGCGUAGAUAUCUGGAGGAAUACCGGUGGCGAAGGCGGCAUCCUGGACCGGCAUUGACGCUGAGGAGCGAAAGCCAGGGGAGCAAACGGG
rnacentral:rRNA from 1 species